GGCGCGAGCAGGUGCGAAAGCAGGUCAUAGUGAUCCGGUGGUUCUGAAUGGAAGGGCCAUCGCUCAACGGAUAAAAGGUACUCCGGGGAUAACAGGCUGAUACCGCCCAAGAGUUCAUAUCGACGGCGGUGUUUGGCACCUCGAUGUCGGCUCAUCACAUCCUGGGGCUGAAGUAGGUCCCAAGGGUAUGGCUGUUCGCCAUUUAAAGUGGUACGCGAGCUGGGUUUAGAACGUCGUGAGACAGUUCGGUCCCUAUCUGCCGUGGGCGCUGGAGAACUGAGGGGGGCUGCUCCUAGUACGAGAGGACCGGAGUGGACGCAUCACUGGUGUUCGGGUUGUCAUGCCAAUGGCACUGCCCGGUAGCUAAAUGCGGAAGAGAUAAGUGCUGAAAGCAUCUAAGCACGAAACUUGCCCCGAGAUGAGUUCUCCCUGAGACUUAGAGUCUCCUGAAGGAACGUUGAAGACGACGA
rnacentral:rRNA from 1 species